UCUGCUGUCUACCUUUACUCGCUAGAUAGACCGUCCUCGCUAGAUUUUACUUCUUGACCUCUCUAUAUAAUCUUAUUUGUUUCAUUCUGUUCUACAUUUUUUCUGUCCAAGGUCACUAGUGUGAAAGACAUUUUGCCAAAGUGUCCACAAGAUGGUGGAGGCGGCGGUAGUGGUCCGUUGACGUCACAAAUAUGGGAAAGGGGGACAUGUCUCGAAGGAUUGUCCGCAAGAGGGUCGCGGCGGUGGUGAAAGUCGUACCUGCCAUGAGAUAAACAAAAAACAAAAAAAACAUCAUUUUUAGUGCUCAUUUUUAACGAAGAAGAGGGCAAUAUAGCAAGGGAUUUUCCUCAAGGAGGAAGCAUUGGUGGCAGCAACUGUUAUGAUUGUAAUGAAGCUGACCACAGCUCGAUAGGCUGCCCGAAUCUCUUCAGUGAAUUGACAGAAGAUGGAAAGCCACAUGAGCAAUACAUUCCAGAAGCUGUGACAUGCGGUGAAUAGGAACUGUUUAAGGGCAUUGUCUUAGGGAAAGCUUUAACAAUUUUGAUAAAGUCGUCCUCCAUGUACGCCAUUUCUCGAAACUGUAUUUUUUUUUUAAAUAUCUAUUGUGCUUGCUUUAGGCUACAGGAAAAGAUGUACUUCAAUACAUAACAUCAUUCGAAGAAGCCGGCCUGCAUCAACUACUACUUCAAAACAUUAAGAAUUCUGGCUACAUAAAACCAACACCUGUUCAGAAAGCUUCAGUUGUAGUUAUUCUUGCCAAAAGAGGUUUAAUUGCUUGUGCGGUCAUGGGCUCCGGAAAACGGUAAUCCAACUAAUUAACACUGUGUAAUUUUGAAACCUUGAUGCCCUCGUACUGACUUGAUUCGAAUGGGUCGGUAUGAACUGGGUAAGUUGAAGUAAAAGUAAUUUUUAGUGGGCAUGCCGGUGA